rnacentral:tmRNA from 1 species
GGGGCUGCACUGGUUUCGACGUGGGUUCGGACGCGCAGCAGGGCAUGUCGAGGUUCUGUCACCUCGUUAAACCGCAGAAAAAAAACUAACUGCAAACGACGAACGUUUCGCACUCGCCGCUUAAUUGCCGGUGAGCUU